rnacentral:piRNA from 1 species
UCUAGAAAUGAAGAUGGUGGGUCCUACAGG